rnacentral:misc_RNA from 1 species
GUUUGAGGAAAAACUCAAACCCCCAAUGGCCUUUAAUGACGGCCACACCAAAGGCAUGACAUUCAUACAUUAAACAACUUUAUUAAUCCACGUACAAGACAGAGAUCAUGAAACUUAAAAGUUGUCAAAUCUGACCGGCAAAUAAGAUCACAGGAGAGUUCCUUCAUUCAAUAGAUAGAUAAAUAUUUAGAUGUUGAUGAGCAGGGAAUUUCAACUGCAAUAAUAAAGAUGGCAGUAUAUUGCCCAAACAUGACGAACGGUAUUAGAAAAACAGCUUCCAACAGAGCAUAAACUAGCUCUAAU